ACGAAAGAAAGAAAAAAUAGGGAAAGAGGCAGAAAUAUUGUAGAAAUUAGUUUAUAGUGAUUUCUUCUAAAUCUAUAGUAAUUUUGUGGAUGAUUUAUCUUUGUUUAAGUGUUACCAUCAGAGUCAUUGAUUAAGUAAAGUUUUCUAAACUUUAUUAAAUUUUAUCAAAUAGUUAAAUUUUAUCAAAUAUUUUAGAAUUAAGAAGUUUUAUUCCUAAUUCCUCUACCCCAUGUGUCUGUAUGUUUUGGUGACUCACCGGCAAGGUUAAGCUGAUCUGAAACCGAAGAUGCUGCCUACUACUUUUUCUUUUAGCGGUGAUCUACUGUAAAAUCCUCUCGAAACACCCUUGGUUAAGUUUUUUCGAAUCUCUCGAAGACCGUAAAUUGUCCAUUCUCCGGCCAGAAACCGGCGACCGAAAUCUGAAACCCUAUCCAAAAAUUCUUAUUGAUGGCCAGUGAUGCAUGCUCCUCAAAUACGAGACGAAGCAGAGGUGGAGACGACGGACAACAGGAACUCAAAGCUGGAUAUGCAACCUCAUGUUCGCUGCAACCUGGGGAUGUAAAAGAUGGUGUGGCCCCAAAAUGCUUCUGUGGAAAAUAUGCCAUCUGUUACAUGUCGAAGACAAAUAUCCACUCGAAUAGACUAUUUUUUGGAUGCCCAUUAUUAAAGGUGACACAACUACAUUGCAAAUUCUUUGUCUGGGUUGAUGACCACAUUGUAAGGGUUAGAGCAGUGGAGCCAAUAAGGGGAUUGGGUGACGGCAAGCCGAAUGAUGUUAAAGAACAUUCGGGACUGGAUAACUUGAUUGCUCAUGUAGAGGAAAGAAUAGUAAACCUAGAGAAGCUGCUGAACAAAAAGACUAGAGAAGCAGAGUUGAAGAAGAAGAAUA